AAACAAAAAAAAACACCAUAGCAUAUCCUGGGUUCAGAUUUCUUCCUUCUUGUCCCUGAUGUUUUAAAAGCUGAAGUGUGCAUACGUUCAAAAGAACUUGAAUGCGACAAUAAAACCUCAUCUUUGCUGAGACAUUAUAGAGAUCUGCAUGAAAACGAGCUCACAAACGAAAGUGGACCAUGCUCAGCUAAGUCAUUUUAGGCUACAACGAUGAAGAAGCAUCAUACAAACAUUUGGUGACAUUGGAAGAGUGAAGAAUCUCCUAGACCAGAGUAUUGGAAAGGAAAACAUGUUUAUCCCAACUUGUAUAAACUUGCUGUAGCUUUUCAUGGCUACAACUGUGAAAGGGUGUUUUCUAAAGCAGGCAAAAUCAUCUCGAAACAGAAAAAACACCUGAGGCUUCAGAUAACAGCGCCCUCAACCUUUUUAAGGCUCAGUCACAGAGGAAGCCGUCUUCAGCCUCUUGGAUCGCGUUCAUUUGAAGACAGGAAUGUAGAUGGACUGGGAUGUUUAAGAGGAAUGCUGCUUCAGUCUUUUGUGAAAAAAGAACAAUCGUUGCAGGUCUCCUUUAACUUGGUACGAGAUGACAGCUUCAACAGACAGGAGGCCACUACAAUCCGACUGAAGCAAUAAUGUGAAACACGCUGUUUUCUAGUGUUCAAAUAAGAUAAUCAUGACCCGUAUGCAUGUGGAUAUGAAAUAUUUUAGAAUUAUAUUUUGCUGUAUUACAUGAAAAGAAAAUCUUCAUGUUAGAUGUCCUACAUGAAACUUUGACAUUAACAAAUGUUUUUCAAUUAAAAAA